UCGCUGCUACCGAUGGGUGAUCCGGUGAAUGAUUUGGACUUUGUCUAUGCUAGCUACUAGCUAUGUCAGGGGAAACUUUGUGAACCUUAUCACUUGGAGGAAGCAG
rnacentral:rRNA from 1 species